GCAUUAAAGUAGAAAUGAAUAAUCAGAUGUGGUUAAAGGGGGAAAAGGUUACAUUUCCUUUAACUCAGAUUAAGCUUACUUGCACUGCACCCAUAAUUGAGGUGGUGAGGUCUAUGUUUCCUCCUGUCUCUAGAACUCCAGGGUUUACCUGGUGAGGCCCAUUUUCACUGAUUCUCCUGCACACGCCCACUCCUCUGUGCUUCCCAUGGGGUCAGGGCACAAUAACGUUAGGCAGCUAUGGGUUUCUGUGGUGGUUCCUACAACUUCACAAAUGUGAGAGGACUUCUGCUGCUGCAAGUGACCGAGUCUUCCUUCAUGUGAGAAUGUGUCCUCGUACCGAUUCUUCCCAAGGUUAAAAGAUGAGGGCUGGCCUGCCACAUAAUACUUGCUCACGUCCUUACAGUUCUAGCUCUUUAGAUGAAUGCA
rnacentral:lncRNA from 1 species